AAACAAAGCACUGAACACAAAGCGAACUAUUAUUUCACCUUUUACUAAAGAAUACCGUGUGUUCUUUACAAUAUGUGUGUUCUUUACAAUAUGUGGCAUACGCCUAUUUAUGUUUGG